rnacentral:rRNA from 1 species
GAUCUCCGAAUUUACUUGGAUAACUGUGGUAAUUCUAGAGCUAAUACGUGCAAUCGAGCCCUGAACGUAAGUGAUGGGCGCAUUUAUUAGUAACAAAACCAAUCGGUGCUUGCACCGUGGUUUGGUGAAUCUGAAUAACUGAGCAGAUCGCUUCGGUCUUUGUACCGGCGACGUAUCUUUCAAGUGUCUGUUUUAUCAACUUUCGAUGUUAGUUUAUGUGACUAACAUGGUUGUCACGGAUAACGGAGAAUAAGGGUUCGACUCCGGAGAGGGAGCCUGAGAAACGGCUACCACUUCUAAGGAAGGCAGCAGGCGCGCAACUUACCCAAUCUCAGUACGAGGAGGUAGUGACGAAAAAUAACGAGACGAGGCUCUUUGAGUUUCGUCAUCGGAAUGAGAACAAUAUAAAUCCUUUAACGAGGACCUAGCGGAGGGCAAGUCUGGUGCCAGCAGCCGCGGUAAUUCCAGCUCCGCCAGUGUAUAUCUAUGCUGCUGCGGUUAAAAAGCUCGUAGUUGGAUCUGCAUGUUUCGACCCGGUCCGACAGUAUUGUUGUGAACUGG